UGGGAAGAGGGCCAGACACGAGCAGGUGAGCUACACUGUUCCCUCUCUGGCCCCUCCCCCACAAGCAGUGCAGCAGCACAGGAAGGAGGGUUGUCCUGCCUGGGUGAAUACCUAAGGCCCUGCCCCCUUACAACCUAUCAGCUGCACCAAGACAAAAAAAUAUGGCCCAAAUAAAAGAACAG